UUUGGUCGAAAACCUAAGGUUUCCUGGGGAAGGCUCGUCCGCCCAGGGUUAGUCGGGACCUAAGCUGAGGCCGAUAGGCGUAGGCGAUGGACAAUCGGUUGAUAUUCCGAUACCACUACAACGCGUUAUUACCGAUGGGGUGACGCAGGAGGAUAGGAUGUGCUCACUAUUGGAUGUGGGUCUAAGUACUUAGGCAGAGCAGAUAGGCAAAUCCGUUUGCUCAAUGCUGAGGUGCGAUGGGGAGCGAAGUUUAGUAGCGAAGUAUCUGAUUCCACGCUGCCAAGAAAAGCCUCUAGGGAGUGAAGUAGUGCCCGUACCGCAAACCGACACAGGUAGGUGAGGAGAGAAUCCUAAGACCAGCGGAAGAAUUGCAGUUAAGGAACUCGGCAAAUUGACCCCGUAACUUCGGGAGAAGGGGUGCCUACGAGAGUAGGUCGCAGAGAAUAGGCCCAAGCAACUGUUUAGCAAAAACACAGGUCUCUGCUAAAGCGAAAGCUGAUGUAUAGGGGCUGACGCCUGCCCGGUGCUGGAAGGUUAAGGGGAUUGCUUAGCGCAAGCGAAGGCAUGAACUUAAGCCCCAGUAAACGGCGGCCGUAACUAUAA
rnacentral:ncRNA from 1 species